UGGGGAAUAUUGCACAAUGGGGGAAACCCUGAUGCAGCGACGCCGCGUGAACGAAGAAGGUAUUCGUAUCGUAAAGUUCUGUCCUAUGGGAAGAUAAUGACAGUACCAUAGAAGAAAGCUCCGGCUAAAUACGUGCCAGCAGCCGCGGUAAUACGUAUGGAGCGAGCGUUGUCCGGAAUUAUUGGGCGUAAAGGGUACGCAGGCGGUUUAAUAAGUCGAAUGUUAAAGAUCGGGGCUCAACCCCGCAAAGCAUUGGAAACUGAUAAACUUGAGUAGAGGAGAGGAAAGUGGAAUUCCUAGUGUAGUGGUGAAAUACGUAGAUAUUAGGAGGAAUACCAGUAGCGAAGGCGACUUUCUGGACACAAACUGACGCUGAGGUACGAAAGCGUGGGGAGCAAACAGG
rnacentral:rRNA from 1 species